GUGCUCCCUUCAGCAGCACAUAUACUAAAACUAGAACAAUGCAGAGAAGAUUAACAUGGUCCCUGCACAAGGAUGACAUACAAAUUCAUGAAGUGUUCCAUAUAUUU
rnacentral:snRNA from 1 species